rnacentral:rRNA from 1 species
GACGAACGCUGGCGGCGUGCCUAACACAUGCAAGUCGAACGGCAAGGCCCUGCUUUUGUGGGGUGCUCGAUAGGCGAACGGAUUAGUAACUCGUGAGUAACCUGCCCUUGACUUUGGGAUAACUUCAGGAAACUGGGGCUAAUACCGGAUAGGUGCUCCUGCUGCAUGGUGGGGGUUGGAGAGUUUCGGUGGUUGGGGAUGGACUCGGGGCGUGUCGGCUUGGGGGUGGGGUAGUGGCUUACCAAGGCUUUGCGAGGUAGCCGGGCUGGGAGGGGGACCUGACAAAUGAGGACGGAGAUACGGCCCAGACUCCUACGGGAGGCAACAGUGGGGAAGAGUGCACUAUGGGCGGGAGCCAGAUGCAGUAAAGCCGCGCGCGGGAUGACGGCCAUCGGGUAGUAAACUGCUUUCGCUUGUGACGAAGCGUGAGUGACGGUAAUAGGUAAAGAAGCACCGGCUAACUACGUG